UACAUAAUGAUGAAUUCAAAAGACAGUUUCAGAGACCUAACAUAGUUAAAGAGAUCACAAAAAGAAGACUCAUGUAGGGGGGGGCAUGCCUGGCGUAAGCAAGGAUCUCUAGUUAGACAGAUAAUAGAGAAUGAACCAAUAGGUAAAAGACCUCUAGGAAGAUCCAGAUUGAGGUGGGAAGACUGUGUUAAAAAGGACUUAAAAAUGAUAGAUCCAGGAAUCAGAUGGAGAGAAGCUGCAGAGGAUAGGGACAGAUGGCAAGAUUUGAAUUUAGCGGUAUGGUCUUAAGGGCCGAAACCAAAAAGAAGAAGAAGAUUAUAGCUGAAUCUUCUUCAAUGCAUAAAUUAAAAAUUGAACUAGACUAAGCGCCAAACUGUGAACAGUUAGCUAAUGCUUCCAUGUAUCCCAAGUACAGGACUGUGCGAUUUUGGUAUGAUCAAUGGAAAAAAAUUCAUCUUGGACCUGUCUCAGGAGUUGGUGUUAUACAAGUAAAUUCUGUACUACUGAUGUAAAUCUGUAUCGAUUUUCUUACCAUUAUCAUUUAUCAUUAAUUUAUAAUAAGUCAUUACUCAUUAUUAACUGGAAAAUAUCUGUUUUGUGUAUAUUUGAUAGUAUAUAAUAUUGUAAUGCAUAUUGCUGCCAUUAUUUUACGUUCCUCUUAUCGUUGUGCGCUGUAGUGUUGGCAGCAUUUAGCGCUAUCAGUAGUCAGCUGCCGCGAUGAGGCACAUGAUAAUUGCCCAUUUUUUUCAUCAUAAUCGUUAAUUAUAAAUUUAUAAAUAUAUAUUAUUUUGUAUUCUUGUUGUUUUUUUCGUCCAUUAUACAUACCUUGUGCAAUACCGGCUUAUUAUUGUAUUUACCUACUUAGACGUCUUAGACACCUAGUCCUUUUUUUGGCCGUUCUUGCAAACCUCUUGAGGUGAAUAUCGUUGAUUUUUUGUGGUCUGCUGUGAUCAACGCUGGUAUUUUUGUUCUAUUGUCUGGUAAUUAUGGUUCGGAAACUCUAAUUUGAAAAUUAUAUUUAUGGUAUUAUUGUUUUAGUCUAGGGUUGUCAUUUUACCAGCAGUAGGACAAUUUUGACGUUUCGUCCAGAAUAUAUGGUUUUGGACUUGGUUUAUUGUUUGUUAGCUGCAUAACUGCUAGCUGUGGUGUUUGUAUUUUUUUUAGUCUAACCACUUACGGGUAAACAUGGAGUGAAAUUGUUGGGUCUUCAUUGAGAUAGUUUUGUAUUACGCACCUCGCACGUGAUUUGUCUCGAACCCAACCCAAAAAUUAAAUUACAUUAUAUAAUAUAUUAUUUACUAUUAAAAUUUUAAAAUAUAAACAAAUCAGGUAGUAGGCGCUCUUUAAAAAUAAUGUUUCUCAAGCUUUUUUGUCUACAUGCAUUGGCGUAUUUAUGAUUUUAUAUCCACUGGUAUCUACAUGUGUAUUUUUUUUUCUUAAAUCAGUUAAAUCUUUUUUUUAAAUUGUUUUAAUGAUUUUUUUAUUGUAUAAAAUCAUUGCUUAAAUCAAAUUUAAGAACAGAUUAGGAUGAACUAUUUAAAGAAUAAUUCUGUGCUAUCUUAAGUGAUAUCUAGAUAAAAAGUAUAUAGAUACAAAUUAAGUACCUACAUCUUAUUUAGAUAAAUAAAUAAAUUAGUAUCUAAUUGGUAAUCAAGAUUUAAAUUAUGGAAAUCUACAUAAAUCUCGUUGAGUUAUGUACUUGUAUUUUUUCAAUAAUCGUUUACUCAUUUAAUUAUUUUAUAACAAAUAUAAUAUUACCACAAUACUAUCUAUAUGUAGUAUACAGAGUGUAACUCGUCUAUUUGACCUUAUUGUAUUUGUCAAAUAGACGAGUUACACUCUGUAUAUGAGUACAAAAUAAUAAUAGAAUUUGAUAGGCUGUGUCCCUGUAAUAAUUUUUAUGCUACAAUAUUUUAAUGUUCAGUAAAUCUUUUAACUAGUUCAACGUUUAUAUUUAUUCAUAUAUUAAAAUAUUUAGAGUUCGCUUGCUGAUGUUGUUAUCAAGUACUCAAGUGACAUCUUGACGUAUUAAUUUUAAACACCAAAUUAUAUAAAUACAAAUCAAUUUAAACUUUGGAAAGUGAUAUAUUUUUAUACAAAUUUCCUAAACUGAGGGUCAAAAUGUUUUAAUUUUUUUCAUAGUAUUCUGGCAUCCAAAUGCCCCUUAAACAUCUGAUGCCGGGGCAAAUGCCCUUAAAACCCUCUGUCAAUUCCGGCCCUGAGUCCACCUAUAACAUAUUUAUUUAUUUGUAUAACGACAAAUAUUGUCUACUAUUGCUGUGGUCACUUUAUGCGCUAACAAUAUCAACUUUUAAAAAAUGUAUGGUUGUACCUUUGUUUAAAACAGGACAUAAAUUAUUAUAAUAUUAUGUGGUAAUUAUCAACCAAUCACUUUAUCUUUAACGUUUACUAAAAUUUUCAAAAAAUGUAUAAGGUCAGAAUAGUAAAUUUUUUAGAUAAAAUUUCUUUUCAAGUAAACAAUUUGGAUUCAGAUCUGGAUAAUCAACAACAGUUGCACUUUUUGAGAUUGAUAGCUUUAUAAUAAAUAAUAUGGAUGAUAAUAACAAAGUAUUAGGUAUUUUCCUUGAUAUUCAAAAAGUGUUUGAUUGUGUAGAUCAUAAGAUAUUAUUGAAUAAACUGAAUCAGUCUGGCAUUAGAGGAAUACCAAAUGAUCUUAUAAAAUAAUUUUUAAAUGAAAGAACUUAAAGAGUUAAAAUAGAUGAUACUUAUAGUGAAUCACUUAACAUAUAAUAACUUGUGGUGUUCCCCAAGGCACAAUAUUGAGUGUGGGUCCUCUUUUAUUCAUUAUUUUUAUAAAUUAUUAUGUUUUAAAAAUACAAAAUAAUACGUAUUACGUAUAUUGAAUUAUUCAGUUUUGCUGAUGACACUGCUAUAUUAGUAGCUGACAAAUCAAUUGAUAAAUUACUUAAUGAGUCAAAUUAAUUUCUUAAUAAUGUGUAUUCUUGGUUCCGUAAAAAAAAAUUAUAAUUUAAUUGUCCAUUCUUUGAAAUGUAUAUGCGAUUUUAAUUCUUCAUGCUCUUAAAAUUGUAUUAAUAUUGAAAAAGUACAAGAAAUAAAAUAUCUUGGAUUAGUUUUAGAUUAUAAAUUAAAAUGGGAUAAACAUAUAUUUUCAAUUAACAAUAAAUUAUUCAAAUAUUUCUAUAAUUUCAAAGAAGCUAAAUAUAUAUUUAAUAAUUCCUAUAAAAGAAUUAUAUUUUAACUUAAAUUCUAUCUUUUUAUUCGUAUGUUAUAUCUCUUUGGUGAGGAACUUUUAAUAAUCAUUUAAAUAAACUUAAUAUUACUAUAAAUUGUGUCAUACAAUUUUUAUUAAUUCUACCUAAUUUAACUAGUACUGCAUUAAUAUUUAAAGUACUUAAUGUGAAAAAUCUGAAAUGUAUUCAUAAUUUCUCUGUUUUAAUCCAGCUAUAUAAACAUAAACACUUAAUUCCUAUUUUUGAUAAUGAACACAAAACUAGAUUUAAACAUAAUAUUUAUAUACGUUUACCAAAUUGUGUAAAAGUUUAUGGACAAAAAAGUGUAUUUUAUAUUUAUAUGGGUCUGAAAUUAUGUUUAACUUUUAAUAUGAAUAAUUUUAGUAAUUUAAUUAUUUUUAAGAAGUAUAUUAAACAUUUAGAUUUAGCUUGUUCUUAAAUUAAUUUAUUUUAUGUUAUUUAUUUAUCAUUUUUUCUAAAAUGUUUAAUUAAUUUUGCUUACUAUAUUUUGUAUUAAAUUUACAUUAAUUUAUUUCUGCUGAACAUGAUACUUUAAAAUGGAAUAUUCCACUGUAUUCCUAUAUUUUUGACUUUACAUACUAUUUAUUUGUUCAUACCAAAUUUUAUUGUAUUACAUUGUUUUCUUUUAUAUUCUUAAGAAUUGCUCCCCCAGCACAAGCUUUGUUUACUGACGGUGCUGCAAUAUUGUAUUUAUAAUUGUAUAAUUUGAUGUAAAAACUUGCAAUGUUGCAAUAAAUGUAUCAUUAUUAUUAUUAAAAAUUAAUUUAUUAACCAAUAAAAAUUAAUGUUAUGUAUGAAUAUGA